rnacentral:rRNA from 1 species
UGGGCCCUACGGGAGGCAGCAGUGGGGAAUAUUGCACAAUGGGGGAAACCCUGAUGCAGCGACGCCGCGUGAGCGAUGAAGUAUUUCGGUAUGUAAAGCUCUAUCAGCAGGGAAGAAAAUGGCGGUACCUGACUAAGAAGCCCCGGCUAACUACGUGCCAGCAGCCGCGGUAAUACGGAGGGGGCAAGCGUUAUCCGGAUUUACUGGGUGGAAAGGGAGCGUAGAAGGUCCU